rnacentral:rRNA from 1 species
UACGAAGGGGGCUAGCGUUGCUCGGAAUCACUGGGCGUAAAGGGUGCGUAGGCGGGGCUUUAAGUCAGGGGUGAAAUCCUGGAGCUCAACUCCAGAACUGCCUUUGAUACUGAAGAUCUUGAGUUCGGGAGAGGUGAGUGGAACUGCGAGUGUAGAGGUGAAAUUCGUAGAUAUUCGCAAGAACACCAGUGGCGAAGGCGGCUCACUGGCCCGGUACUGACGCUGAGGUGCGAAAGCGUGGGGAGCAAACAGG